UACGUAGGGGGCAAGCGUUGUCCGGAAUCAUUGGGCGUAAAGCGUGCGCAGGCGGUUAUAUAAGACAGAUGUGAAAUCCCCGGGCUCAACCUGGGACCUGCAUUUGUGACUGUAUAGCUAGAGUACGGUAGAGGGGGAUGGAAUUCCGCGUGUAGCAGUGAAAUGCGUAGAUAUGCGGAGGAACACCGAUGGCGAAGGCAAUCCCCUGGACCUGUACUGACGCUCAUGCACGAAAGCGUGGGGAGCAAACAGGAUUAGAUACCCUGGUAGUCCACGCCCUAAACGAUGUCAACUGGUUGUUGGGUCUUCACUGACUCAGUAACGAAGCUAACGCGUGAAGUUGACCGCCUGGGGAGUACGGCCGCAAGGUUG
rnacentral:rRNA from 1 species